rnacentral:rRNA from 1 species
UACGUAGGGGGCAAGCGUUGUCCGGAUUCAUUGGGCGUAAAGAGCGUGUAGGCGGCCAGGUAGGUCGGUUGUGAAAACUGGAGGCUCAACCUUCAGAAGUCGACCGAAACCAUCUGGCUAGAGUCCGGGAGAGGAGAGUGGAAUUCCUGGUGUAGCGGUGAAAUGCUUAGAUAUGACAUAGAACACCAAUUGCGAAGGCAGCUUACUACAUAGUUAUUGACACUGAGGCACGAAAGCGUGGGGAUCAAACAGG